CCCCGGUUCACCCCCCCCCGAAACCGGGUGAUGACGGUCCGCGCCACACCCCCCCCGAGACGCGGACCGUCCUUU
rfam:Corynebacterium durum F0235 genomic scaffold Scfld27, whole genome shotgun sequence.